AACGCUAGCUACAGGCUUAACACAUGCAAGUCGAGGGGCAGCAUUUUAGUUUGCUUGCAAACUAAAGAUGGCGACCGGCGCACGGGUGAGUAACACGUAUCCAACCUGCCGAUAACUCUGGGAUAGCCUUUCGAAAGAAAGAUUAAUACCGGAUGGCAUAGGAUUAUCGCAUGAUGAUCCUAUUAAAGAAUUUCGGUUAUCGAUGGGGAUGCGUUCCAUUAGGCAGUUGGUGAGGUAACGGCUCACCAAACCUUCGAUGGAUAGGGGUUCUGAGAGGAAGGUCCCCCACAUUGGAACUGAGACACGGUCCAAACUCCUACGGGAGGCAGCAGUGAGGAAUAUUGGUCAAUGGACGGGAGUCUGAACCAGCCAAGUAGCGUGAAGGAUGACUGCCCUAUGGGUUGUAAACUUCUUUUAUACGGGAAUAAAGUGAUCCACGUGUGGAUUUUUGUAUGUACCGUAUGAAUAAGGAUCGGCUAACUCCGUGCCAGCAGCCGCGGUAAUACGGAGGAUCCGAGCGUUAUCCGGAUUUAUUGGGUUUAAAGGGAGCGUAGGUGGAUUGUUAAGUCAGUUGUGAAAGUUUGCGGCUCAACCGUAAAAUUGCAGUUGAUACUGGCAGUCUUGAGUACAGUAGAGGUGGGCGGAAUUCGUGGUGUAGCGGUGAAAUGCUUAGAUAUCACGAAGAACUCCGAUUG
rnacentral:rRNA from 1 species